AGAACGCUGGCGGCGUGCUCUAAUACAUGCAAGUCGAGCGAACCCUUCGGGGUUAGCGGCGGACGGGUGAGUAACACGUGGGUAACCUGCCUAUAAGACUGGGAUAACUUCGGGAAACCGUAGCUAAUACCGGAUAUAUUUUUGGUUCACAUGAACCGAAAUGGAAAGGCGGCUUUUGCUGUCACUUAUAGAUGGACCCGCGGCGCAUUAGCUAGUUGGUGAGGUAACGGCUCACCAAGGCGACGAUGCGUAGCCGACCUGAGAGGGUGAUCGGCCACACUGGGACUGAUACACGG
rnacentral:rRNA from 1 species